UGUAAAACGGGAUGGCACAUUAUAUAAAAAACUCAAUUUCCCAACAUCAAUAGCGCAGCCAGCCAGUGCCGCCUGGGUAGAAGCAGUAGAUUUAAAAAGCUGGCUGAACGAGUGAGAGAAGCAAGAGAGUGGAGAGUAGAAGGAUGGAGUAAGAAGAGGGAGGAAUGGAGAACACAGAGCGAAGCUCUCUACAUCGCAUACAUUGAACAAGCAGGUAGGACACCUUUAAAAGCAAAGUAGUAAAUCUUCUAAAUAUUAUUGAUGAGUGCAUUAAAAAGAUUGUAUUCCCUGAGAAUACGCAAUAAUUAUUCAGCGGGGUUGUUGUGGAUUUACAAAGCAAGCUGUGUGUCUGCAAGUGUUGUGUUUCAUAAAUCCAACGACCGGGAUAUACAAAAACAAAGCUUGAAGAAGGGACACCAUGCUGUAAGGAGCCAGGAGCCAGGCUUAAAGCACGGGAAUCAGAAAGGAUGGAGACAGUGAGUACUUUUUCAUACACACCGCGGGAGUCACUGUUUUGUUAAUGAAUGGGACUGUGGCAGAGCAGGGCUCUGCCCUUAGAAAUACUGGCAGGGAAGGAGUUAAAUUCUCCUCCCUGCCCAGGUUGAUUGUGUCAGGUGGGAGCAAUCGGUUAAUUCAUUAUCCAAUUAAGGACCCAGCCACCUGGCAUAAAAGGAGGCCUCAGCCUCCCAUUUGGGGGAGAGAGUUCUGGAAGGAGAAGGAGCCAGUGCUUUGUGUGUGCUGGUUUGCUGGUUGUUUUUGAAUCCAGUGAAGGCAACACCCAGCCUGGAAACCUUUAUUUUUGGACUGUUUAUUUUUGGGCUGAUGAACCUGCACCAGUUUGGGAUUGUAAUUAUACCACUUUUACCUGUGGAGAAGAGAUCCACAGGUCUACCGCAGGAUGGGUUUCCAACGUGUUCCAGGAGGAGGAGCCCUGUGUACUUGGAAUUGUGUUUGUUUCAACUAACACCCAGGUAACAGUAAUGUGCUGUUCCUCCAGAAGGGACACCUGUGAGCUGUCCACAGUGCAGUACCAAAAUGAUCCAAGCGUGGCUGCCUCUACUUACCUGCAAGUUCCAAUUCCUCAGCGCCCUCUGGUGGACAUUCCAGGAAACCUGUAAAAGUAAUAACUAAAAGCAAACGGAGUUCAUACAAAUGUGGAAUGGUACUCCACUCACCUUGUAACUCUACGCCUGAGGAUCCAAGCUGCUGUUGACAAGAACUCUGGAAAAUAACUCUGGAUUGUGGUGUGUAAUAAUAUAUGUAAACAUAACUUUGUUAUUUACAUGUUCUAAAUUGAGUCAGCAAUCCUGCAAUUACAUGGGCCUCACAGUCCACACUAUAUAGGAACUUGAUUUAUAGGAAAUCUUGGCUAUUCCCAUAGCUAUCCUGGUUUGAGCAACAUUCAAAAAGAGACAUUAUGGACAGCUCUAAUCACUCUAUCACGUACAAAACAAUAUUUUAUUAUCCAUGGGUAUAUUUGAGAUUUGCAGUCAAAAAGUGGAAAACCUGUUUCCUGUUCUCCUUGAUGAGUGUAACAGGUGAUGAUUGUGUUGAGCCAUUGUGAGAUUUUAAAGUCUGCUAAGGCAUUAUUGUUUUGAUUAUACUGUGUCUGUAUAGUAAUAAAAAUAAAUUUAAAAAAAAAAA